CAAAUAUCAGAACAAGGUGUUCCAACAGUACCCACAAGGGACAAAAGGCAAAGUAUGACAGGGAAUCAAUGUGAUGUACACAGAAGACAAUACUGAACUAGGCGGAAAUCAUGAGCCUGGGAGUCUAAGGGCUUUGGGAUCACAGACAAGAUACUUCAACUCUGACCUUGAGAGUUUUCAGUUAUAAAACAAAGGUGCUACAAUAGAUUUUCUUUUCACUUUCUUCCCAAACUGGAUAUCCUUAUCCCCUCUUCCUGCUUAUGCCAUCUCUCACUUGGGAACUCACUUACAAAAGCCAGCACUGACCUUCUACUCCUUCCCCUAGAACCCUCUUCUGAUGCUCCUCUUCCUCGGCUUUCUGAGUCACUCCUUAAGCAACGUUGGAGAGAAGCAUUGCCAGGGAAAAUGGAGGGAAAGGAAGGUAGAGAAAGAAAGGAAGAGAGGAGACUGGUUGAUUUAAAUUAAAAUCUAAGAAAUAUAACCCAAAAAAGAAUCAACCCAGAAAACAUAAUCCUUUUCUGAUCACCAAACUAAAUAGGGCAGGGAAGAAAGUAACUGGAGUGCUCCUUCUUACAACCCUGAUACCAACUGAUGUUUCCAGUUCAGAACAAGAUCAUGAAUUCUUCUAAGACCUCAACCAUCAAUAAAGUGAUUAUGAGAAGUCUCAAAUGUCACAGUUCACCGGUUUCCAAAAUACUCUCCAGAUGAAGAUCUAUCAUUUAUACGGCAGAAAGUCAUCCAUCUCCACUUUCCAUCUAGUUUUUUCUGGCAGAGUUCCAACAAUGAAUAAAGAAUGGAAAACUAAAACCCUAUAAAUGUCACCAAAAUGUAUAAUUUUACCUAAGGGAAGAACUAUAUGAUAGUUUAGCAUAAACGUCACUUAAUGGAAGCAAUUUGAAAUAAAAUUGAAGACAAAAUGAAUGUCAAGAUUUCCAACAAUUCCAUCUUAAAAUGAUGUUUUCCUAUGUAUCAAAAUAUACAAUCAGUUUAAAAGGUCAAUUCAUCUACUUCCUCAACAUUUAAGACAUUUCUUAAAGCCAAGCCAGAAUUCAUUCUCGAAUAACUGUUUGGCAAAUAAGAAGAAACUUAAAAUACUUCAGCAUUUACUCACAUUGGAUUCCAAAGUGUGUAUCUAAAUCAAUUCUAGAAAUAAAGCACUGCCAAACCAUU